rnacentral:lncRNA from 1 species
GAGGAAGUGAGCUGCCAUGUACUAGGCCACGUGGCAAGGGCCUGGUUGGGGACCUCCAGGGGUUGAGAGCAUCCUCUGGACAACAUGGAAAAAGAAAAUGAAAAUGGUGACCUCAGCCCUAUAGCUAGAAGGAAUUGAAUCCUGUCAACAACGAUACUCAUCACUCACUGCAGAUGUUACUUUAAGACAUUCUGGAGCAGCGUCAUGUGCAGUCAUGUGAAAGUAUAUUCCAAACCCAGAACCUGAGCACAGAUUGGGACUGAGAAACACUUGUCUAGAUUGUCAGGCAAUCUGUAACAUCAGCAGUGGAUGGAAAGAAGGAGAAAGAUGAGUUUUAUGGACGCUAACCCAUCUAUAUGGCUUUGGAAAAUAAAGUACUGCUGUUUUUUUUUGUAAAGGAUUUUUAUUUUUUAUCUUUACAUACAUCUCCCAUUAAAAGGUUAAGACAUUAGGGUUUUCUAUUUAUAACUUGACUUUUGUAUAUGCAAACACUGUUUUGGAAGAUCUUGAUGAUAAACUCAGCAGAUAUGAACCGGUCUGGUACUACAUGGUAGUAUAAGGUAUCUGAUUUCCAUCAGGGUAUGAUUACAAUGUAUACUUUAUAUCUAGAAUUAAUCUAAUCUAAUGUUUCUC